rnacentral:lncRNA from 1 species
CUUGGCGCUGAGAAAAAAAAUCAUAGUAUACAAAAUAUUAAAACGACAACGACGACGUCGACAACAAUGAAGAUGGUGAUGAUUUCUAUGAGCGGACUGGCACAGCGGUUGCGGUUCUGUUUCUCAACCUUGAGAUUCUGGACACACCAUGUCAUUCAGACGGAUAACGUUAACUCAGCGUCCAUGCGCAGUAGAUUGGAACAAUAGUAAAAAACCAAACAACAUGGAAACACGGCAAUCAUUGACAGCACAAAACAACCGAGUUAUAAUAUAUUCAGCAGAGCAAGGAAUCAGAUCAGCUGUUGACACUCAUGAAUCAAGGGAUUACUUUUCUUUAGUGAUUAUAUAACAUUCAGUUCUUUCUUAAAGAGUUUUAAUGAAUAAUAUGUACCGGUACGUAUAUUUAGUGGCAACUGUCCUGAACACUUCUGAGUUUAAAAAAUGUGCUCCAUGGUUGAAACCAAGACACAGCAGAGUAUUAGUUAAUAAUUUGUAGGCGGUUAUUUCAAGUUUGUGAAUGGUUUACUCUUUUCUAUUGUUUAACCUGAUAUUAGAAAGUAAUGGAGAGUCCAAUGUAUAUAAAACGCA